rnacentral:tRNA from 1 species
GGCAAGGUGACCGAGCGGUCCAAGGCGCCACGUUAAGGUGUAAAACCCUUAAUCCUCUUCUCUUUGGGAAUUCCGUGGUCUCGAAAGGGGCGUGAGUUCGAAUCUCACCCUUGUCA